AUACGUAGGUGGCAAGCGUUGUCCGGAAUUAUUGGGCGUAAAGCGCGCGCAGGCGGUCCUUUAAGUCUGAUGUGAAAUCUCGUGGCUUAACCACGAGCGGUCAUUGGAAACUGGGGGACUUGAGUACAGAAGAGGAGAGUGGAAUUCCACGUGUAGCGGUGAAAUGCGUAGAGAUGUGGAGGAACACCAGUGGCGAAGGCGGCUCUCAGGUCUGUGACUGACGCUGAGGUGCGAAAGCGUGGGUAGCGAACAGGAUUAGAUACCCUGGUAGUCCACGCCGUAAACGAUGAGUGCUAGGUGUUGGGGGUUUCCACCCUCAGUGCUGAAGUUAACACAUUAAGCACUCCGCCUGGGGAGUACGGCCGCAAGGCUGAA
rnacentral:rRNA from 1 species